GUUUUUUUAGAAUUUGAUUCUGGCUCAGGACGAACGCUGGCGGCGUGCCUAAUACAUGCAAGUCGAACGCUUCUUUUUCCACCGGAGCUUGCUCCACCGGAAAAAGAGGAGUGGCGAACGGGUGAGUAACACGUGGGUAACCUGCCCAUCAGAAGGGGAUAACACUUGGAAACAGGUGCUAAUACCGUAUAACAAUCAAAACCGCAUGGUUUUGAUUUGAAAGGCGCUUUCGGGUGUCGCUGAUGGAUGGACCCGCGGUGCAUUAGCUAGUUGGUGAGGUAACGGCUCACCAAGGCCACGAUGCAUAGCCGACCUGAGAGGGUGAUCGGCCACAUUGGGACUGAGACACGGCCCAAACUCCUACGGGAGGCAGCAGUAGGGAAUCUUCGGCAAUGGACGAAAGUCUGACCGAGCAACGCCGCGUGAGUGAAGAAGGUUUUCGGAUCGUAAAACUCUGUUGUUAGAGAAGAACAAGGAUGAGAGUAACUGUUCAUCCCUUGACGGUAUCUAACCAGAAAGCCACGGCUAACUACGUGCCAGCAGCCGCGGUAAUACGUAGGUGGCAAGCGUUGUCCGGAUUUAUUGGGCGUAAAGCGAGCGCAGGCGGUUUCUUAAGUCUGAUGUGAAAGCCCCCGGCUCAACCGGGGAGGGUCAUUGGAAACUGGGAGACUUGAGUGCAGAAGAGGAGAGUGGAAUUCCAUGUGUAGCGGUGAAAUGCGUAGAUAUAUGGAGGAACACCAGUGGCGAAGGCGGCUCUCUGGUCUGUAACUGACGCUGAGGCUCGAAAGCGUGGGGAGCAAACAGGAUUAGAUACCCUGGUAGUCCACGCCGUAAACGAUGAGUGCUAAGUGUUGGAGGGUUUCCGCCCUUCAGUGCUGCAGCUAACGCAUUAAGCACUCCGCCUGGGAGACGCCCCCGC
rnacentral:rRNA from 1 species